GAUGAACGCUGGCGGCGUGCCUAAUACAUGCAAGUCGAGCGAACAGACGAGGAGCUUGCUCCUCUGACGUUAGCGGCGGACGGGUGAGUAACACGUGGAUAACCUACCUAUCAGACUGGGAUAACUUCGGGAAACCGGAGCUAAUACCGGAUAAUAUACUGAACCGCAUGGUUCAAUAGUGAAAGACGGUUUUGCUGUCACUUAUAGAUCGAUCCGCGCGGCAUUAGCUAGUUGGUAAGGUAACGGCUUACCAAGGCAACGAUGCGUAGCCGACCUGAGAGGGUGGUCGGCCACACGGGAAGUGAGACACGGUCCCGGCUCCUACGGGAGGCCGCAGUCGGGAAUGUUCCGCAGUGGGCGGAAGCUUGACGGAGCAGCGGCGCGUGAGUGAUGAAGGUCUUCGGAUCGUAAAAAUCUGUUAUGGGGGGAAAACAAAUGUGUAAGUAACUGUGCACGUCUUGACGGUACCUAAAGAGGAAGCCACGGCUAACUACGUG
rnacentral:rRNA from 1 species